UGCCACGGUGAAUACGUUCCCGGGUCUUGUACACACCGCCCGUCAAACCAUGAAAGUCACCAACACCCGAAGUCCGAUUCGUCGGCCUAAGGUGGGGGGGAGUGAUUGGGGUU
rnacentral:rRNA from 1 species